rnacentral:pre_miRNA from 2 species
UUGUGUGUGGUGAUUUGGCAGUGUAUUGUUAGUUAGCUGUUCUUCAUACACCAGCAACUGACUACACUGCCACAUUAGCACAUCACUG